ACCUGUCACGGGCGCCCCGCGCGCACCCGAGGCAUUUUCGACACACCCCGUGCCACGGGAAGAGCAUGGCACUUCAGGGCGUU
rnacentral:sRNA from 1 species